AACAGGAUUAGAUACCCUGGUAGUCCACGCCGUAAACGAUGUCGACUUGGAGGUUGUGCCCUUGAGGCGUGGCUUCCGGAGCUAACGCGUUAAGUCGACCGCCUGGGGAGUACGGCCGCAAGGUUAAAACUCAAAUGAAUUGACGGGGGCCCGCACAAGCGGUGGAGCAUGUGGUUUAAUUCGAUGCAACGCGAAGAACCUUACCUACUCUUGACAUCUAGAGAACUUAGCAGAGAUGCUUUGGUGCCUUCGGGAACUCUGAGACAGGUGCUGCAUGGCUGUCGUCAACUCGUGUUGUGAAAUGUUGGGUUAAGUCCCGCAACGAGCGCAGCCCUUAUCCUUUGUUGCCAGCGGUUCGGCCGGGAACUCAAAGGAGACUGCCAGUGAUAAACUGGAGGAAGGUGGGGAUGACGUCAAGUCAUCAUGGCCCUUACGAGUAGGGCUACACACGUGCUACAAUGGCAUAUACAAAGAGAAGCGACCUCGCGAGAGCAAGCGGACCUCAUAAAGUAUGUCGUAGUCCGGAUUGGAGUCUGCAACUCGACUCCAUGAAGUCGGAAUCGCUAGUAAUCGUGGAUCAGAAUGCCACGGUGAAUACGUUCCCGGGCCUUGUACACACCGCCCGUCACACCAUGGGAGUGGGUUGCAAAAGAAGUAGGUAGCUUAACCUUCGGGAGGGCGCUUACCACUUUGUGAUUCAUGACUGGGGUGAAGUCGUAACAAGGUAACC
rnacentral:rRNA from 1 species